UUACGGCCACACCACGUCAAAACACCGGUUCCCAAAGUUAAGCAACGCUGAUCCUGGUCAGUACCUAGAUGGGUGACCACUUGGGAAUACCAGAUGUUGUAA